GCGACCCCCGUCUUCCUCCUCUCUCCCGCUAAACCCAACUCCGCCCACCGCCACCUGCGCCUAGGGUUCCGCCCCCCAUGACCGUCGCCGAGCCGGAGAUGCCGGAGUCGGAGCGCAGGCCCGCGCCCCUCGCCGGGUGGGACGGGCUCAUCUUCCUGCAUUGCGGGGUUUACGGGGUCCUCUGCGCGGUGUGCCUCGCGUCGGCCAUCGCGCGCCUUGCCCUGGGUCAGGCCGAGAUUCCCCCCGCGGUCCUGGCGGCGUCCUGGAUGUCCGUUAUCUUCGUUCUGACCUUCACCCCCUUUGCCGCGUUCGUCGCCGGCGUGCGCCCCGACGCCAAGGACCCUGUCAGGAUUGGAUGCCUCGUUUCGAUGGCCUUCAUGGUGCUCGGAACUAAAUAGUAAAUACGAUUUGGUGUUGGGUCUGUUGCGUGUGGAAGGAUCUCAAAGGGAACAGAUUGGUUCAAUGGCGAGGGAUGUGGGGAUAAUGGGUGCUGCUGCAACAUGUUGUUUCGUCAUCAUACCCACUAUGCUACUGAGGCAAUGGAGGUUGAAGUAGAGAGGCUAUGUGGUUGUGUUGUUGAGACAUAACCAUGAAUGGAUGGUGUUCAGAUGGGCAAGACAAAUACAAGAGCCGACUCUUUGCUGAAGUUUGUGGCUGCGGAUAAGUACUGGAUUAUAGUUAGUUAGUUAUAUGUAUUCACGAAUGUAGAUUGAUCCACUGCUAGUAUUGAAUACUCCAUGUGCCAUGAGUUCUCGUAAUUUGACGUUUUGGUGUUGAAGUGUUUACUAGCUUGCUGCCAGGAAACCUGGAAUACAUGACCAGACGGUGAGGGGGGUAGCACCCUCUCCGAGGACAAGUGCUUUUCUAGGCAUAUAGAAUUUGCCAUGUUGGUAGUGUUAUGUUUGAUGACUACCAUUUCUUCACAAGCGGUUGGCCCUGUGACAGUUAUUAUAGAAUGUUAUAUAUAAUGAUCACCGAGAGGCGGACCUCAUAUCUUAGGUGGCUUCGUUAAAUUCAGCAAUGGUGAUCAUGAAUCUAUUAUUACAGAGAUGUUUAAAUUAAAGGGUUUAUCUGUGCUAAGUACUAUUUUUAUCAUACCUUCGAUUCAUGUUGGCAA